GUCUCAAGUUGUCAGCCUCCAGACGUCAUCGCCGUGACGUCGGACAUUAAGCUGAUCGUUUUUUCCCCCAAAAUUCCAACCGGAAUUCGCCUAUAAACUCCCUCCAAUUUCUCUCCGACAGCAGAAUCUUCGUUUUUCGGCGAGAGAAAUUUUGUUCUGGUCAAUUUCCAUGGCGACGACGUCGUCUCGGAGUAUUGAAAUCACCGUCAUCUCAGGGGAGGAUUUAAGAAUCGAUCGGAAAAGUGUGAAGAGGAAGACAUUCGUAACUGUGAAGUUCGAUCGCCAGAGCAUCGGCGGCGGCGGCGGCGGAAGAACGGAAAUUGAUGAGCGAGGCGGCUGUUAUCCGUUCUGGAAUGAGAAAAUGUUGAUGGAGAUUCCGGUGGAUGCAAUGUUCUUGACGAUCGAGGUGCAUUGUGGAUCUAUUUCCAGGAACAGGAUCGUCGGAACGGCGAACGUUCCGGUAUCGGAUUUUCUCGGACGAUGCUCUGCCGGUCAGACGGAAUUCUUCACUCGGCUUGGCAGGCUGCUCAAGGAGAAGGCCAAAAGCGAUGUCGAGAAGGUCUUCUUUGGCUUCUCAAAGACUCGUGACAACCUUGCUGUUAUCUAUGAGUUUCUGCUGUACUGGAACCUCCCGGAAAUCGAUAGAGUUCUCGACGAACUCGAAGAGACUCGUGACAAUCUUGCUGUUAUCGAUGAGCUUCUUCUGUACUUGAACCUCGCGGAAAUCGACGGAGUUCUCGACGAACUCGAAGAGGCAUUAUUUGUGUCUGAUUUCGGGCAAAGGAUCGCACCAUUAAGAUCGUGGAGAGCUUGCGUGACCACAUCAGCAGCGUUUUUGGCAGGGAAGGGGAACGAAACUGACCUUCAACUUGGAUUCCGGUGUGCGUUCUUUAUAGCCUGAUGGAAGAGUUAAUAGCAUGUAAGAAAGCUGUGGGCAAAGUUAUUCCAGGGGCACCGAAUAUGUGAGAGAAGAGGUUUCCACGCCUUUAUAAGGAAUGUUUCAUUCUCACAAAUGUGAGAUUUUUUCCACAUCUUUAUAAGGAAUGUAAAUCUCAAAGUUCACCCUGUCACACUAGGCAUUCUCAUCUUUAACUGAUGUGAAUCUCAUUUGGAGGCUCAGCGUCAAUGCUGUCACAUAGGGAGAGAUCUUUUCCACUCCUUUAUAAGGAAUGUAGAUCUAAAAGUUCAUCCUGUCACACCAGGCAUUCUCAUCUUUAACUGAUGCGAGAUCUCACCAUUCACUCUCUUGGAGGCUCAGCGUCAAUGCUGUCACACAGAGAGAGAUUUUCACACUUUGGACUGUUUAGGCAUUCUCAUCUUUAACUGAUGUGAAAUCUGUUAGGGAGAAAUUUUCACACGUUUAUAAGGAAUGUUUCGUUAUCGUUAUCCUCUCAAUGCGGAAUCUCACAAUAAA